GAUGAACGCUAGCUACAGGCUUAACACAUGCAAGUCGCGGGGCAGCAUGGGGGUUGCUUGCAACCCCUGAUGGCGACCGGCGCACGGGUGAGUAACGCGUAUCCAACCUGCCCUUCACCACGGGAUAACCCGGCGAAAGUCGGACUAAUACCGUAUGUUGUCCAUUGACGGCAUCCGAUUUGGACGAAAGGCUUGGCGGUGGAAGGAUGGGGAUGCGUCCGAUUAGCUUGACGGCGGGGUAACCGCCCACCGUGGCUACGAUCGGUAGGGGUUCUGGGGGGAAGGUCCCCCACACUGGAGAUGAGACACGGUCCAGACUCCUACGGGAGGCAGCAGUGAGGAAUAUUGGUCAAUGGGCGUAAGCCUGAACCAGCCAAGUAGCGUGCAGGAGGACGGCCCUAUGGGUUGUAAACUGCUUUUAUGCGGGGAUAAAGUGGCCCACGUGUGGGCUUUUGCAGGUACCGCAUGAAUAAGGACCGGCUAAUUCCGUG
rnacentral:rRNA from 1 species